rfam:Streptomyces cellostaticus strain DSM 40189 genomic scaffold PRJNA299219_s001, whole genome shotgun sequence.
AGAGGAAGCCGGUGCGAAUCCGGCGCGGUCCCGCCACUGUGAUCUCGGCCUCCCCAGGCCGGGUGAGCCAGGAACUC